rnacentral:rRNA from 1 species
GAUGAACGCUGGCGGCGUGCCUAAUACAUGCAAGUCGAGCGAACAGAUAAGGAGCUUGCUCCUUUGACGUUAGCGGCGGACGGGUGAGUAACACGUGGGUAACCUACCUAUAAGACUGGAAUAACUCCGGGAAACCGGGGCUAAUGCCGGAUAACAUUUAGAACCGCAUGGUUCUAAAGUGAAAGAUGGUUUUGCUAUCACUUAUAGAUGGACCCGCGCCGUAUUAGCUAGUUGGUAAGGUAACGGCUUACCAAGGCAACGAUACGUAGCCGACCUGAGAGGGUGAUCGGCCACACUGGAACUGAGACACGGUCCAGACUCCUACGGGAGGCAGCAGUAGGGAAUCUUCCGCAAUGGGCGGAAGCCUGACGGAGCAACGCCGCGUGAGUGAUGAAGGUCUUCGGAUCGUAAAACUCUGUUAUUAGGGAAGAACAAAUGUGUAAGUAACUGUGCACGUCUUGACGGUACCUAAUCAGAAAGCCACGGCUAACUACGUG